ACACGGGGGGCGCAAGCGUUAUUCGGAAUUAUUGGGCGUAAAGGGCGCGUAGGCGGUCUUGUCGGUCAGAUGUGAAAGCCCAGGGCUCAACCUUGGACGUGCAUUUGAAACAGCAAGACUUGAGUACGGGAGAGGAAAGCGGAAUUCCUGGUGUAGAGGUGAAAUUCGUAGAUAUCAGGAGGAACACCGAUGGCGAAGGCAGCUUUCUGGACCGAUACUGACGCUGAGGCGCGAAGGCGUGGGUAGCGAACAGGAUUAGAAACCCCAGUAGUCC
rnacentral:rRNA from 1 species